UACGGAGGAAGCAAGCGUUAUCCGGAAUUACUGGGCGUAAAGAGUUGCGUAGGUGGCAAAGUGUGUCAGUAGUGAAAGAGUGUGGCUCAACCAUAUAAACAUUACUGAAACUGCUUAGCUAGAGGACGAGAGAGGUUAUUGGAAUUCCCAGUGUAGGAGUGAAAUCCGUAGAUAUUGGGAGGAACACCGAUGGCGUAGGCAGAUAACUGGCUCGUUCCUGACACUAAGGCACGAAAAGCGUGGGGGAGCAAAACGGGG
rnacentral:rRNA from 1 species